rnacentral:rRNA from 1 species
UACGAAGGGGGCUAGCGUUGUUCGGAAUUACUGGGCGUAAAGCGCACGUAGGCGGAUUGUUAAGUUAGGGGUGAAAUCCCGGGGCUCAACCCCGGAACUGCCUUUAAUACUGGCAAUCUCGAGUCCGAGAGAGGUGAGUGGAAUUCCGAGUGUAGAGGUGAAAUUCGUAGAUAUUCGGAGGAACACCAGUGGCGAAGGCGGCACUCUGGGCCAGUACUGACACUGAGGAGCGAAAGCGUGGGGAGCGAACAGG